rnacentral:rRNA from 1 species
ACUCCUACGGGAGGCAGCAGUGGGGAAUAUUGCACAAUGGGCGCAAGCCUGAUGCAGCCAUGCCGCGUGUGUGAAGAAGGCCUUCGGGUUGUAAAGCACUUUCAGUCAGGAGGAAAGGUUAGUAGUUAAUACCUGCUAGCUGUGACGUUACNGAACAGAAGAAGCACCGGCUAACUAC